GUCCUUGUAGCUUAUCAGCAAAGCAUGGCAUUGAAGACGCCAAGAUGGUCAUCCUCCUGCCCCAAGGACA
rnacentral:tRNA from 1 species